rnacentral:rRNA from 1 species
GAUGAACGCUGGCGGCGUGCUUAACACAUGCAAGUCGAACGAAGCACUUUGAUCGAUUUCUUCGGAUUGAAAUUUUAGUGACUGAGUGGCGGACGGGUGAGUAACGCGUGGGUAACCUGCCUCACACAGGGGGAUAACAGUUGGAAACGGCUGCUAAUACCGCAUAAGCGCACAGUACCGCAUGGUACAGUGUGAAAAACUCCGGUGGUGUGAGAUGGACCCGCGUCUGAUUAGCUAGUUGGCAGGGCAACGGCCUACCAAGGCGACGAUCAGUAGCCGACCUGAGAGGGUGACCGGCACAUUGGGACUGAGACACGGCCCAAAACUCCUACGGGAGGCAGCAGUGGGGAAUAUUGCACAAU